AGAGUUUGAUCCUGGCUCAGGAUGAACGCUAGCGGCAGGCCUAACACAUGCAAGUCGAGGGGUAGCAGGGUAGCAAUAUCGCUGACGACCGGCGCACGGGGGAGUAACGCGUAUGCAACCUUCCUUUAACUGGGGGAUAGCCCGGAGAAAUUCGGAUUAAUACCCCAUAAGAUCGCAGAAAGGCAUCUUUCAGCGAUUAAAGCUCCGGCGGUUAAAGAUGGGCAUGCGUGCCAUUAGCUUGUUGGUGAGGUAACGGCUCACCAAGGCUACGAUGGUUAGGGGGUCUGAGAGGAUGAUCCCCCACACUGGUACUGAGACACGGACCAGACUCCUACGGGAGGCAGCAGUGAGGAAUAUUGGGCAAUGGGCGCAAGCCUGACCCAGCCAUGCCGCGUGAAGGAUGAAUGCCCUAUGGGUUGUAAACUUCUUUUGUACGGGACGAAACUUCUGGUCGUGACCAGGAUUGACUGUACUGUACGAAUAAGCAUCGGCUAACUCCGUGCCAGCAGCCGCGGUAAUACGGAGGAUGCAAGCGUUAUCCGGAUUUAUUGGGUUUAAAGGGUGCGUAGGCGGAAUAAUAAGUCAGUGGUGAAAGCCUGCGGCUUAACCGUAGAAAUGCCAUUGAUACUGUUAUUCUUGAGUAUAGUUGAGGUGGGCGGAAUGUGUAAUGUAGCGGUGAAAUGCUUAGAUAUUACACAGAACACCAAUUGCGAAGGCAGCUCACUAAGCUGUUACUGACGCUGAGGCACGAAAGCGUGGGGAGCAAACAGGAUUAGAUACCCUGGUAGUCCACGCCGUAAACGAUGAUCACUCGUUGUUGGCGAUACACUGUCAGCGACUGAGCGAAAGCAAUAAGUGAUCCACCUGGGGAGUACGGCGGCAACGCUGAAACUCAAAGGAAUUGACGGGGGCCCGCACAAGCGGAGGAACAUGUGGUUUAAUUCGAUGAUACGCGAGGAACCUUACCUGGGCUUGAAAGGGGAACGACCUCCCGGGAAACCGGGAUUCUCUUCGGAGCGUUCUUCCUAGGUGCUGCAUGGUUGUCGUCAGCUCGUGCCGUGAGGUGUCGGGUUAAGUCCCAUAACGAGCGCAACCCCUAUUGUUAGUUGCCAGCGGGUAAUGCCGGGAACUCUAACGAAACUGCCGGUGUAAACCGAGAGGAAGGUGGGGAUGACGUCAAAUCAGCACGGCCCUUAUGUCCAGGGCUACACACGUGUUACAAUGGUCGGUACAAAGGGCAGCUACUUGGUGACAAGAUGCUAAUCUCUAAAACCGGUCUCAGUUCGGAUCGAAGUCUGCAACUCGACUUCGUGAAGCUGGAUUCGCUAGUAAUCGCGCAUCAGCAAUGGCGCGGUGAAUACGUUCCCGGGCCUUGUACACACCGCCCGUCAAGCCAUGGAAGCUGGGGGUACCUGAAGUCUGUAACCGCAAGGAGCGGCCUAGGGUAAAACCAGUGACUGGGGCUAAGUCGUAACAAGGUAACC
rnacentral:rRNA from 1 species